GCUAUUUCUUGGGCUGCUCCCGCGGCAUAUGGAGGUUCCCAGGCCAGGGGUCCAAUCGGAGCUGUAGCCACCAGCCUACGCCAGAGCCAUAGCAACGCGGAAUCCAAGCCACAUCUGCAACCUACACCACAGCUCACGGCAACGCGGAUCCUUAACCCACUGAGCAAGGGCAGGGACCAAACCCGCAACCUCAUGGUUCCUAGUCAGAUUCGUUAACCACUGCGCCACGACAGGAACUCCGGUAUUGUCUUUUGAUACAUAAUUUUCAAAUUUUGUCUUAAGUCCAGUUUGUCUAUUUUUCUUUUGUCGCCUGUGCCUAUGGUGUCAUUUCCAACAAACGAUUGCCAAAUUGAAUGUUAUGAAGCUUUUGCCCUGUUUUCUUCAGUUGGCUUUAUAAUUGUAGGACUUAUUUUGGGGGGCUUUUUAGGGCCACAACUGUGGCAUAGGGAAUUUCUCAGGCUAGGGAUUGAAUCAGAGCUGAAGCUGCCAGCCUACAGCCACAGAAAGGGCAGAUCCAAACCACAUCUGCAGCCUACACUACAGCUCACGGCAAUGCCAGAUCCUUAACCCACUGAGUAAAGCCAGGGAUCAAACCUGCAUCCUCAUGGUUACUAGUUGGUUUCGUUACCACUGAUCCACAACAGGAACACACAUUUUGAGUAAAUUUUGGUAUAUGGUGCUAAGUUAUUCUAACUUUAUUCUUUUGCAUAUAGGUGUCUAGUUUCUCAGUGCCAUUUGUUGAGAAGACUGUCCUUUGCCCCAUUAAAUGGUCUAAAAAAAUUAAUAAUCUGUGAGGGUUUAUUUCUGGUCCAAGCCCUUGCCUGGAAGUUGCAAGUUUUUGAUGAACUUCAGAAAUUCUCUCCACAAUUUUUUUUUUUUUUUGGUCUUUUGUCUUUUUUUUAGGGCCACACCCACCGCUUGCGGAGGUUCCCAGGCUAGGUCUCUAAUCAGAGCUGUAGCCGCUGGCCUACACCACAGCCACACAAUGCUAGAUCUAAGCCGCGUCUGCGACCUACACCACAGCUCACAGCAACGCCAGAUCCUUAACCCACUGAGCGAGACCAGGGAUCGAACCCACAACCUCAUGGUUCUUGGUUGGAUUCAUUUCUGCUGUGCCACAAUGGGAACUCCUCAAGUGAUUUUUUUUGAAGGUGGGGUUUCUUAGAGACUAUUUCCAAGCUUCUGCGGAUAUCCCACAGAAAAGCAAAACAUAAUGAUACGAGAGAAAUGGCACAUUAUUGCAGGCCUCAGUCCUUGAGAAAGGCCAGAGAAGAUAGGCUCCAGAGCACAAAGGGAAGUGUUCACCUUUGCUCAGAACAGGGAAUGUUUGUUUGCUGUAAAAAGUAUACAAAAUAAAAAGUAUACAAAGGACAGAGGGAUGAGAGCAAAAAAAAAUUAGAAUUGAUGGUGGAAAUAGGUCGUUAGGUUUAUAGAUUUGGUGGUGGGAAGAAAAGUAAGUUGUUCUUGUGAUUGUUUUUAAUUUUUCAAUAAAAUACAAGAGUAAGUUAUUAGCUGAGAGUGAGGUAUAUGGAGUAGGAAGGGAUCGUUGAAGUUUUGAGAAAAGAGAAAAUAUGAUAUAGUCAUUUUUUAUGGCCAGAAGUAUGCUACAGAAGUAUGUAAGAUAGUUUUUUAGAAUCAUUUCUUCUGAGAUUUAUUAUGAGAAUCAUUAAGACUGUGUGCUUUUCUUUAGUCUCACUCAGCUACUUCUGAGAAGGCACAGAAUAGGUCAUUAUGGGCUUAACUAAUGUGACAGAGAUUACUAACUGUCACCAAAUAUACAUGUUCUGUUUUCCUUCUACUAAUAGAAUGCCCUGAAUUUAGCUUGUCUUGCCCAACAAAGAGAUUAUAUGUUUGAGCCUCCUUUACAGCUCAGAGCCACCCUGUGAUUGUGAUCCAGUGCGUAUGUGAUCCAAGAUGUGUGUAACUCCUAGAGCAUCUUCCUGAAGAGGAAACCACUUUCCUUGGACCUCAGUGAGUGGCUAUGAUGAUGGACCAUUACACCUAAGGGUUAUGGGAAAUGUGUCUGCAGGGGUGAUGAAUAGUGGGAAAAUGAUAGACUCAGUGAACUGGAAGGUGUAAUGAAGUUUUUUUAAUUGAAGUCAGGUAUUUGAUAAAGAGAAUCCUUGAAAGAUAGGGAUGGUGGUCAGAGAGUGGAAUGCUUAUAAUUAAUUAUUGGCAAGCAUAUGACUAUAGGAGAUGGCAGCUGAAGUGAGAUAAGCGGGGAGGAAGUCAUCAAAAGUAAGGAGUAAAAGAAGCUAGGAGGCCUCCUCAUUGGUUUGGUCAGCCAUCAUAGUGGCAACAGGAGCAGGUAUAAAGAUUGACAGCCAGGUACUAAAAUCUUCCAUAAAUGAGGGGAGACUUAGAGGUCAAUAGGAUAGCAAUAUUUGGGGUUGCAGUGUCUGAUAACAUGAACAACAAAGGAUCUUUGCGAAGAUCCUUUGAGAAGGAAAAAUGACUUACAAAGCAGCAGUAGGAAGCAAGGAAGAUAGCACUCUUAUUUCUAACCUUUAAGACCAGAGGUACACGGUGUAAGAGAACAAACUGCAUCUUUCUGAGAGGUCUGUAGGACAGGGGAACCAGUGCCCUUAAGGGAUAGGCAGGUUUCAGGCAAGGCAUGGAAGUGAAGGGAAUGUUCAGAGAGGAUAUCACAGAUAAAGAGUAUUGAUGACAGGUCAUGGGACUAAGAGGGCACAGGAAGCAUUCGGGGGUUAGGGAGGAGUGGGUGAGGGGGUGAUGUUCAUAUUCAUGGGUGAAUUGGGAUGGUAUGGAAAAAAGGGUUUAGACUUCUAGUGGUAUACCUUCUCAGGUAUACCACAUUAGUUAAAUGGAAAUAUGAGGCAUGUUGGUAUAGUGAGCCUGAGGAAGGUCAGGAAUUGGGAGUUCCCGUCGUGGCUCAGCAAUUAGCAAAUCUGACUAGCAUCCAUGAGGACACAGGUUUGUUCCCUGGCCUUCCUCAGUGGGUUAAAGAUCCCACUGUGAGCUGUGGUGUAGGUCGCAGACAUGGCUCAGAUCCUGUGUUGCUGUGCCACAGCUCUGAUACGGUCCCUAGCCUGGGAACCUCCAUAUGCUGUGGGUGUGACCCUAAAAAGAAAAAAGAAAAAAA
rnacentral:lncRNA from 1 species